rnacentral:piRNA from 1 species
UUGGUUGCAUUUAACUCUGAU